CAAAUUGGAUUAAAGGGCCUCUUUAGUUCAGGACAGACAUCAUAAUGGAGUGAAGAGAUGAGAUGUCCAGCAAGGAAAAUCCCUUCUCUGUCAGACAACACAGAACACAAGGGAACUCAACACCAGUGAAGAGAGUUGCUAAUUCGCCUGGCACGUGAACAUGUGACUGACAUCAGAUGGAUGCCAUUGUAGCAUAGAAAAAAACAUGUGUUGUACUUUUUUUUUUUCUUUUGCGAGAGGGAAUGUCCCAUUGCGUAGAUAUUAGACUUUUCCCUCAAUGUGUCAUGCAAACGGACGAUGCAGAAUGCUAUUUAUUGUUGAUGUGUUAUUGCUGUGUCACUAGAGCCAUGCAGUAUUUUUGACUGAAUGUGCAGUAUAUCCCACAAAUACUCACAAAUACUCACUCUUUAUAGACGAGAGAAGGAAAUAAACACAUUGUUUCCCCCAA